GGCGAACGGGUGAGUAACACGUGGGCAAUCUGCCCUGCACUCUGGGACAAGCCCUGGAAACGGGGUCUAAUACCGGAUAUUAACCGGGAGGGCAUCCUCCUGGUUGGAAACGCUCCGGCGGUGCAGGAUGAGCCCGCGGCCUAUCAGCUUGUUGGUGGGGUGAUGGCCUACCAAGGCGACGACGGGUAGCCGGCCUGAGAGGGCGACCGGCACACUGGGACUGAGACACGGACCAGACUCCUACGGGAGGCAGCAGUGGGGAAUAUUGCACAAUGGGCGAAAGCCUGAUGCAGCGACGCCGCGUGAGGGAUGACGGCCUUCGGGUUGUAAACCUCUUUCAGCAGGGAACGAAGCGCAAGUGACGGUACCUGCAGAAGAAGCACCGGCUAACUACGUGCCAGCAGCCGCGG
rnacentral:rRNA from 1 species